rnacentral:rRNA from 1 species
UAAUACGAAGGGGGCUAGCGUUGUUCGGAAUUACUGGGCGUAAAGCGCACGUAGGCGGACAUUUAAGUCAGGGGUGAAAUCCCGGGGCUCAACCCCGGAACUGCCUUUGAUACUGGGUGUCUAGAGUAUGGAAGAGGUGAGUGGAAUUCCGAGUGUAGAGGUGAAAUUCGUAGAUAUUCGGAGGAACACCAGUGGCGAAGGCGGCUCACUGGUCCAUUACUGACGCUGAGGUGCGAAAGCGUGGGGAGCAAACAGGAUUA